UCCUCAUUUUCAGGUAACGAUGACGGAUUGUCCUGCCG
rnacentral:sRNA from 1 species